GAUAUGUGAAUACAUAGCAUAUCAGAAGGCACACCCGGAGAACUGAAACAUCUUAGUACCCGGAGGAAGAGAAAGAAAAUUCGAUUCCCUUAGUAGCGGCGAGCGAAACGGGAAGAGCCCAAACCAACAAGCUUGCUUGUUGGGGUUGUAGGACACUCUAUACGGAGUUACAAAGGACGACAUUAGACGAAUCAUCUGGAAAGAUGAAUCAAAGAAGGUAAUAAUCCUGUAGUCGAAAAUGUUGUCUCUCUUGAGUGGAUCCUGAGUACGACGGAGCACGUGAAAUUCCGUCGGAAUCUGGGAGGACCAUCUCCUAAGGCUAAAUACUCUCUAGUGACCGAUAGUGAACCAGUACCGUGAGGGAAAGGUGAAAAGCACCCCGGAAGGGGAGUGAAAUAGAACCUGAAACCGUGUGCUUACAAGUAGUCAGAGCCCGUUAAUGGGUGAUGGCGUGCCUUUUGUAGAAUGAACCGGCGAGUUACGAUUUGAUGCAAGGUUAAGCAGUAAAUGUGGAGCCGUAGCGAAAGCGAGUCUGAAUAGGGCGUUUAGUAUUUGGUCGUAGACCCGAAACCAGGUGAUCUACCCUUGGUCAGGUUGAAGUUCAGGUAACACUGAAUGGAGGACCGAACCGACUUACGUUGAAAAGUGAGCGGAUGA
rnacentral:rRNA from 1 species